GAUGAGCGCUGGCGGCGUGCCUAAUACAUGCAAGUCGAGCGAACAGACGAGGAGCUUGCUCCUCUGACGUUAGCGGCGGACGGGUGAGUAACACGUGGAUAACCUACCUAUAAGACUGGGAUAACUUCGGGAAACCGGAGCUAAUACUGGAUAAUAUAUUGAACCGCAUGGUUCAAUAGUGAAAGACGGUUUUGCUGUCACUUAUAGAUGGAUCCGCGCCGCAUUAGCUAGUUGGUAAGGUAACGGCUUACCAAGGCAACGAUGCGUAGCCGACCUGAGAGGGUGAUCGGCCACACUGGAACUGAGACACGGUCCAGACUCCUACGGGAGGCAGCAGUAGGGAAUCUUCCGCAAUGGGCGAAAGCCUGACGGAGCAACGCCGCGUGAGUGAUGAAGGUCUUCGGAUCGUAAAACUCUGUUAUUAGGGAAGAACAAAUGUGUAAGUAACUAUGCACGUCUUGACGGUACCUAAUCAGAAAGCCACGGCUAACUACGUG
rnacentral:rRNA from 1 species